UACGAAGGGGGCUAGCGUUGUUCGGAAUUACAGGGCGUAAAGCGCACGCAGGCGGAUUGGUAAGUCAGGGGUGAAAUCCCGGGGCUCAACCUCGGAAUUGCCUUUGAUACUGCCAAUCUUGAGUCCGGGAGAGGUGAGUGGAAUUCCUAGUGUAGAGGUGAAAUUCGUAGAUAUUAGGAAGAACACCAGUGGCGAAGGCGGCUCACUGGCCCGGUACUGACGCUCAGGUGCGAAAGCGUGGGGAGCAAACAGG
rnacentral:rRNA from 1 species